AUGGGGUUGGGGCUGCCCUGGGUUUUCUUUUUUGCUCUUUUAAAAGGUGUCCACUGUGAGGUGAAGCUGGUUGAGUCUGGUGGAGGAUUGGUGAAGCCUGCAGGGUCACUGAAACUCUCCUGUGCGGCCUCUGGAUUCACUUUCAGUGCUGCCUGGAUGAACUGGGUCCGCCAGGCUCCAGGGAAGGGGGUGGAGUGGGUUGCGAACAUAAACACUAAACCUAAUAAUUAUGCAACCUAUUAUUCAGAUUCGGUGAAAGGAAGAUACACCAUCUCCAGAGAUGAUUUCCAAAGCAUGGCUUACCUGCAAAUGAACAACCUGGGAACUGAGGACACGGCCACUUACUACUGUACAGCUGACACAGUGAGGAGUUUUCAGUGUGAGCCCAGACAAAAACCUCCCUGCCCGGCUCCCAUGACCAGCAGGGGGCGCUCAGCACACAUAAAGCCCAGAUUCAGACAUAAUUGA